rnacentral:misc_RNA from 1 species
AAGAGUCACACCAUGUAAAAAUUUUGUAUAUCCAAGUAAACUAAGCUUUCCGUCUGAGUUUCUGAUCCAAUCUUUGAUGAAUGAAUAAGCUGAAGGCCCGACAUUCAAUUCUCGUGCCAGUUCUUCAAGAGAGAUGACUCUGUUACCCUCCCGUUCAAAAUGCUCAAAUGCAGCGGAGGCAAUUUGCUCCCACCCAUCAAGUGCCUCUAAUUGAUAUGUGCUAAUUGCAGCAGCACAAAACUCUUCAAAGUACAUCUUCCUAUAAGCAAGGGACUCCAUCACGUUAAGAAUUUCAGGAACCCUCAAUUCCCUCAUGGCAUCAGUUGCAUGAUGUCCUAGAGCCAUUCUGAAGUUAUCAAGAGAGACACUCCCAUCCCUAUUUGGUUCCAACAGCCUGAAUUGAGCUCUAAGAUAUACAAGCUCAUCCUCAGUCAACGCUUUUGAAAGAGCCUUUAAUGCUGCACGUUUGAAAGGUGUAGCAUGCAGGUAUGCCUUUACUAGUUUAUAGAUCAAUAUGUCUAGAGGUACAGAACGGCUAUCAUCCCGCAACCAUGGGUGAGUUAGAGCUUGGACAGCAGUCAUUCUUUUCCUGUAAUCCUUGUUCAGGAGCCUCUUCACAAAAUCCUUGGCCUCUGGACUGAUAGAAGGCCAGGGUAAAUCAUCAAAGUUGGGAUCAGAUCUCAGCACUGCACGAAAAAUUCCUGAUUCUGUCCGUGCCCAGAAAGGCCGGCUUCCACAUAAUAAAAUAUAGGAUAUAACACCAAUGCUCCAUAUAUCUGCCUCCAGACUGUAAGAUCUAUGCAGGACUUCAGGUGCAACAUAAUAUGCACUUCCAACAAUAUCAUUAAGUCUUUCAUCAGGUAGGAUAAAGUCAGAAAGACCAAAAUCAAUAAGCUUCAUAUCAGCAUCAUCACCCCCAGAAGUGAAAAGAAAAUUCUGCAAACAAAACAGACAAAAGAGGAUAAAAAAUGAAUAAGCAUAGAAUAAAAGAAUACACAUGAACUCUAACCACCCAAAGAGGUAAAAUUACAGAAUGAAACAAUUGUAUGUACAAUGGAUUCAUCCUGACUAUAGAUCAUGGUGGGAUCCACAUGGGACUCACCAUGAUCAAUGGUUGAAAUAAAUCCAUUGCAUAUGCAACGACGCAUGGUAAAAAAGCUCCUAAAAGAGAGAGACAGAGGGCGCUGAAUGCUAAGUGGCACUCAUUUGGAAGGGAAAAAAAACCUCUGGCUUUAGGUCACGAUGCACAACGCCUUGAAGAUGGCAAAAUGACACCACUGACAGGAUUUGCACAACUAUAGCUUUUGCAUCUCCCUCUGUGUACCUUCCUCCUCUUGCUAAAAUUCUGUCUAAAAGCUCGCCACCCUCACACAAUUCCAUGACUAUGUACACAUUAUUAGCAUCCUCGCAUGCAUCAUAAAACUUGACAAGAUGCUUAUGCCCUGAUAGUACUUUCAAUAUUUUUACCUCCCUACGAACAUCUUCAAUUGAUAUUGCUGUUGUCAUCUUGGCUUUGGAAAUGAUCUUGACGGCGACUGGCUGUCCCCUGAGCUCCCCUCUCUUUCCCAUAGCCCAGCAAGUGUAACCAAAAUGCCCUCGCCCAACCUCCCUCCCCAACUCGAACUUAGCCGGAAAAUUAUUCGCGUAGCCAAAACUCUUAUCCAGCUGCCUCUCGCCCUCACCUCCCUCUCCAUCCUCUGGUAUUGGCACCUCCUUGGGCGGCUUAGUGUGCCCUCGCCGCCUCAUAAUCGCCAUGAUCGGCUUAGCCGGAGACGGAGGCGGCAAAGGCCACCUGAACUUUCUUCCUGGAGUACCCACCGGGGAAGGAGACGGUGGAACUCCAGCCGGAAGAGGACUUUGGAAUGGGCUAGCCGCGAAGGAGUUAUAAUCAGUGGAAGACGGUGUCUCCACCGGACGUACAGUUGGAAGUGAAGACGACGGCGGUUUAAAGUGGUUGGCGGGUGUGAUUCCAUCAUUUUUUAUUGCGGAUACGUCUUUGCUACAGCAAUGGCCCAUCGUCGGAUAUGGAGAUGGAGGUGGUGGUAAUGCUAGUUAGUUUUUGAUCGAGAAAAUUAAAAAAAGUAAGAUCAUCAGACGGUGAAGAAUUUAGCUUAGACACAUUUUACAAUCUAAGUACUUGUACCGGCGAAAAAAUCAAUAGCCAGUAGAGAAGAGAGAAGCAGAAGAUGAGAGAAAUAUUUGAAGACGCGGGCUGGUUCGCUUCGCUAAGCUUGAGAAGGAAAUAAAGCUAGCGUUACAAGGAAUAACGCACAUUGACCGGGCAAGGGAAACCCCAAUCGCUUGGGAUCUUUUUCAGCAAACAAUGGAUGAGGAUGACCCACCCAUCCUCUACAACCAGCGAUGACUUCAAAGAGGAACGUGGCCACCUUCAACGGCAAUCUCUGUGUCGUUUCUUGCUUAAAAGAUCCCAAGCGAUUGGGGUU